UACGUAGGGACCAAGCGUUGUUCGGAUUUACUGGGCGUAACGGGCGCGUAGGCGGCGCUGUAAGUCACUUGUGAAAUCUCCGGGCUUAACUCGGAAAGGUCAACUGAUACUGUGCGACUAGAGUGCGGAAGGGGCAACUGGAAUUCUCGGUGUAGCGGUGAAAUGCGUAGAUAUCGAGAGGAACACCUGCGGCGAAGGCGGGUUGCUGGGCCGACACUGACGCUGAUGCGCGAAAGCCAGGGGAGCGAACGGG
rnacentral:rRNA from 1 species